rnacentral:lncRNA from 1 species
AGGUGCUGGAAGAGAGAGGGCUUAAGAUAACCUGAUGUCCAAGUAGGAGGUAAUAGCAUAAGGUCCUGGAAGAGAGAGGGUUGUAGAUUACAUGAUGUUCUAAUAGAAGGUAACAGGAUAAGGUCCUGGAAGGCAAAGGUAUUGUAGAUUACCUGAUGUCCAAAUAGGAGGAAAUAGCAUAAAGUCAUGGAAGAGAGAGGGUUGUAGAUUACCUGAUGUCCAAAUAGGAGAUAAUAGCAUAAAGUCCUUGAACACAAAGGUGUUGUAGAUUACCUGAUGUCCAAAUAGGAGGUAAUAGCAUAAAGUCCUGGAAGACAAAGGUGUUGUAGAUUACCUGAUGUCCAAAUAGGAGGCAACAGCAUAAGGUCCUCAAAGACAAACUUGUUGUAGAUUACCUGAUGUCCAAAUAGGAGGGAAUAGCAUAAGAUCCUGGAAGAUAAAGGUUUUGUUAGAUUACCUGAUAUCCAAAUAGGAGAUAAUAGCAUAAGGUCCUCGAAGACAAAGGUGUUGUAGAUUACCUGAUGUCCAAAUAGGAGGUAAUAGCAUAAGGUCCUGGAAGACAAAGGUGUUGUAGAUUACCUGAGUUCCAAAUAGGAGUUAAUAGCAUAAGGUCCUGGAAGAGAGGGCAGUAGAUUACAUGAUGUCCAAAUAGGAGGUAAUAGCAUAA